AAAAUCUUCAACCACAUCUGGCCUUUAAUUCUCCCUGUUAUAUUUUCAAAAGACUCCUGGCAGUCUACCAAGGUUUGUUUCAAAAAAUUGGCUGAGUGACUAUUACUCAAAAAGGAGCAAGCUAACUACAAUCAUGGUGCAUUUCUCAUGGAGUCUAAUACAAAUCUGAAAGAAGUGAAGACUUGUGUUCCUACUGAGAACUUCCCUGCUUCUUGCCAGAGAAACUCCUGACACAAAGGACAGACAUACGACAUUGGAUUCUGUUAUGUUUUCUUUCCUCCUCUUCCAACCAGAUGAUAUAACUACCUGCAUUUCAGUCUCUGUUUCAUACAUGAAAAUUAAGAUUAAAUUUUAAGAGGAUUGUUAGCCAAA